UACAGAGGUCUCAAGCGUUGUUCGGAUUCAUUGGGCGUAAAGAGCGUGUAGGCGGCCCGGUAAGUCCGCUGUAAAAAGUCAAAGGCUCAACCUUUGAAUGUCAGUGGAUACUGCCGGGCUAGAGUCCGGAAGAGGCGAGUGGAACUCCUGGUGUAGCGGUGGAAUGCGCAGAUAUCAGGAAGAAUACCAACGGCGAAGGCAGCUCGCUGGGACGGUACUGACGCUGAGACGCGAAAGCGUGGGGAGCGAACAGG
rnacentral:rRNA from 1 species